rnacentral:sRNA from 1 species
AUGUACCACGCGUACAUGCCGGUUCCUCCGCGCCCACCUGACGACUGCUCGCUACGUUUUGUUAGCC